rfam:Volvox carteri f. nagariensis unplaced genomic scaffold VOLCAscaffold_59, whole genome shotgun sequence.
AUCGAGAUGGCGCAGCGGAAGCGUGCGGGACUCAAAACCCCGAGGUCCCAGGAUCGAAACUAGGUCUCGAUA